CAUGCACUUAAUAACUAUAUAACUCACUCGAAGUUGAAGGGGAAGAGUAUUUUUUGUUUUUCUUUUUGGUUCACAAAGAACCUCAUAAGAUUGGUGCAGACUUCUAUCUCAUGAGCUGCUGUCCACACUGCCUGUAGAGCUUUGAAAACAAUAUAAGGGUCAACGAACCCAAUAUUAUUGUCAUUUCUGAUUCUGAGCUCUCUCAUUUGGUGCCUGCAUAUAUACAUACAAAUACUAAGUGUGUAAGGAUUAUAUACAUGUAAUUAAAUAAGUUAGAAGUAUAAUAAAAAGAAAAAAAAUACUUACAGACAAAAGCAGCUGACAAGAGAUUUGUCG
rnacentral:lncRNA from 1 species